CAGUAGCCACGGUAAUACGUAGGUGGCAAGCGUUGUCCGGAAUUAUUGGGCGUAAAGGGCUCGCAGGCGGUUUCUUAAGUCUGAUGUGAAAGCCCCCGGCUCAACCGGGGAGGGUCAUUGGAAACUGGGAAACUUGAGCGCAGAAGAGGAGAGUGGAAUUCCACGUGUAGCGGUGAAAUGCGUAGAGAUGUGGAGGAACACCAGUGGCGAAGGCGACUCUCUGGUCUGUAACUGACGCUGAGGAGCGAAAGCGUGGGGAGCGAACAGGAUUAGAUACCCCAGUAGUCCCUGUCUCUUAUAC
rnacentral:rRNA from 1 species